ensembl:piRNA 21ur-10489 ncRNA
UAAAAAUCUGAAGAAACGCAU